rnacentral:rRNA from 1 species
AGAGACGCUGGCGGCGUGCUAAUACAUGCAAGUCGAGCGAAGUUUUUCUGUGAUUGCACUAGAAAACUUAAGCGGCGAACGGGUGAGUAACACGUAAAGAACUCCGCCUCAUAGACGGGACAACUAUUGGAAACGAUAGCUAAUACCGGAUAACAGCAUAAAUCGCAUGAUAUAUGUUUAAAAGUUGGUUUCGGCUAACACUAUGAGAUGGCUUUGCGGUGCAUUAGCUAGUUGGUGGGGUAAAGGCCUACCAAGGCGACGAUGCAUAGCCGACCUGAGAGGGUGAUCGGCCACACUGGGACUGAGACACGGCCCAGACUCCUACGGGAGGCAGCAGUAGGGAAUCUUCCGCAAUGGGCGAAAGCCUGACGGAGCAACGCCGCGUGAGUGAAGAAGGAUUUCGGUUCGUAAAGCUCUGUUGUUAGGGAAGAAUGAUUGUAUAGUAACUAUAUACAGUAGAGACGGUACCUAACCAGAAAGCCACGGCUAACUACGUG